GCCGGGCGUGGUGGCUCACUCCUGUAAUCCCACCACUUUAGGAGGCUGGGGCAGGUGGAUCACCUGAGGUCAGGAGUUCUAGACCAGCCUGGCCAACAUGGUGAAACCCUGUCUCUA
rnacentral:SRP_RNA from 2 species